UUUAAACAUUUGAUGACUUGCCCUGGAUCCAAACAAGGUUAUUCAUCUAGUAAUUUAGGAAGGCUGCUGUAAAUUGAGAAAAGGUACAAAUCUAAGUGAAAUGGUGGGGCUCAAGCACACAAAUUCUUCUUGUAGAGGAGAAUUCUGUCCAGGCAGUGUUUGCAUACACCAUUUGAUGCAGUCGGAUAGUGGAGAGUUUAUUGUGUUAAAAGUGUCUGACUGAUACUCACCUUUCUGAAACACUAUUAUUGCUUGUCUGCUUUCAUUUAUUUCAAGGUAACAGGUAUUUUCUACAUUAUAAUAUGAUAUUGCCUGUGUAUGAUUUUUGUAUUCUUCUAAGUAUGGAUACCUUGGCAUUGUAGGUACUAUAACUUGUCUGGAGUUUUAUGGUAACACACACCUCCUAAGUGGGGCUGAAGAUGGACUGAUUUGUGUAUGGAAUACCAAAAAGUGGGAGUGCCAGCAAACCUUCAACUGCAAAAUACGACCCGUUUUAAUUUCUGGUGUAUUUAAUUUACUAUACAGAUUUUGGUUUAUAUUGUUCUGCAUAUUUAGACAACUGUUUUUGUUCAUUUAUGAAUAGGAACUGCCAUGCUGUUCUUCAAAAAAAAUUAUUUAAAUCUUGUUGACGGACUCCGAUGGAACAUCAGUCAAACUGUUAUACAGAAUGAUAACUUUGGAACAAAGCACCAAGGCAGGGUGGUACACUUUGACAAGAUUAUUAGUAUAAUGCUAGGACAAGUCGUGUCCCUUUCCAUUCAUCCUUCAGGAAAGUUAGCCUUAUCGGCAGGGACAGAUGAAACCUUAAGACGCACACAUUAUCCAGUGGUCUCCCAUUGGAGAGAAAUAUGUGGUUGUGAUACAUGACACGGUUGAUGUGUACCAGCUGGAGACUGCAGCAGUAGUUGGUACAAUUAAUAACCCAAAGAGAAUCUCUUCUGUACAGUUUAUAACUGCGCUGAUCCUCUUAUAUAUAUUCCAUAGAGAAUACAUAUACAUUUGUUCUGGACUUUCAUUUACAGCUGAGGGACUGUGAAGGGAUCGGCAAGGAAUACCUAAGAGACUGACAUUUUUUUACCAAGUUGCAUGUGUAACAAUGAUUGGAUCAUAGUGUUGGCUCAUAAAGAUCGAGGAGAGCAUCAGCAUGCCGAUGCAGACCUUGUCCAAUGGGAUUUUCAAGUAGAGUAUUUGCAACAUACUGGUGAAGAAUCUUCAUGUCUUUGAACUGCAGGGAACUCAUGUUGUUGUAUCUUCAUCAAGUGACGGUUAUAUUAAGAUAUGGAAAAGGUCCAGACUUCUCCAUCAUUGCUUUGUGAAGUCAGUACAUCGGCUAGACUUACUUCUCAGCUUGGCUUCCCAGUGGCAUAGACUAUAAGGAAAAAAGCAACACAACUGUCACUGCUUCAGCUGUGAAAGACUGUGACAGGCCAAAGAAGAAAAAGGCCCAAAAUGAAACAACGGAUAAGGAAGCAAGUGAAACCCAAGUUGUACAUAAAAAGAGGAAAACUGAAAUUAAACAGAAAAAGAAACCAGUUAAAUAACUCAAUUUCUGUAUUCAUUUAAUACAUUUAUUCUCUGUACAUGUUUAUUCUCUUAAUUAAAUAGUUGAAAAGUUAAGGGAUAGUAAUUUAUUUUUUAAUAUGCAAUAACAUGCUAAUGCAAUAUCAUUAUUUGAAUACUAAAUAUCUGCUUUUGGUAUCACUAAAGGUAUAUCCUACUCUCUUUUUUGUUAUGCAGCACACCCUUUUCAUGCACACACCAAAACAAGCUAAUUAAGAAAUGUGCAACAGGCCCUAUGGUGCUUGAAAUGUUUUCUGCUGUUUAACCAUUGGGCCAGACCUACUUGUCAUUUUACUCCUCCUCAGGACACCACAGCAAAACAACCCUUUCCACAUUUUACCCCUUUAAACUUCCCAUCGCUUAUGCAAUCGUGGCACCUGGUCAAGGUUAUUACUGUUUCAUUCACUUGAGAAAAAUGUUAUUCAUGCUCCAUUAAUUUAUUAGUCAUCUAGUUCAACAGCUGAAAUGCAGUGGCUGUAUUUAAUAAAAUUGAUGUUUUAUAUUU